rnacentral:rRNA from 1 species
GGCACGGCGUAUGCUAUACAUGCAGUCGAGCGAAUGGAUUGAGAAGCUUGCUCCUCAAGAAGUUAGCGGCGGACGGGUGAGUAACACGUGGGUAACCUGCCCAUAAGACUGGGAUAACUCCGGGAAACCGGGGCUAAUACCGGAUAACAUUUUGAACUGCAUGGUUCGAAAUUGAAAGGCGGCUUCGGCUGUCACUUAUGGAUGGACCCGCGUCGCAUUAGCUAGUUGGUGAGGUAACGGCUCACCAAGGCAACGAUGCGUAGCCGACCUGAGAGGGUGAUCGGCCACACUGGGACUGAGACACGGCCCAGAAUCCUAUGGGGAGGAGCCGUCAGUUAGGCUGUCUUCCGCAAUAGACGACAUUAGUCUGACGGAGCAACGCCGGCGUGAGAUGAUGAAUGGUUUCAGGUCGUAAAGCUCUUGUUCGUUAGGCAAGAGCAAGUGCUAGUCGACUAAGCUGCCACUUUGACGGUACUUACCCAGAAAGCCACGCCUACUUACGUGCCAGCAGCUGCGGUAAUACGUAGUUGCCAAGCGUUAUCGGGAAUUAUUGGCCGUAAAGCGCGCGCAGGUGGUUUCUUAAGUCUGAUGUGAAAGCCUACGGCUCAACCGUGGAGGGUCAUUGGAAACUGGCAGACUUGAGUGCAGAAAGAGGAAAGUGGAAUUGCCAUGUGUAGCGGUGAAAUGCGUAGAGAUAUGGAGGAACACCAGUGGCGAACGCGACUUUCUGGUCUGUAACUGACACUGAGGCGCGCAAAGCGUGGGGAGCAAACAGGAUUAGAUACCCUGGUAGUACACGCCGUAAACGAUGAGUGCUACGUGUUAGAGGGUUUCCGCCCUUUAGUGCUGACGUCUACGCAUCUAGCACUCCGCCUGGGGAGUACCGCCGCACGGGCUGAACCUCAAUGGAAUAGACGGGGGCCCGCACACCCGGUGGAGCAUGUGGUUUAGAUCGACGCAACGCGAGGAACCUUACCAGGUCUCGACAUCCUCUGAAGUGCCUAGAGAUAGCACUUCUCCUCCGGGAGCUGAUUGACAGCUGAUGCAUGAUCGUCGUCAACUCACCCCAAGAGAUCGAUCGAUUGACGAUGACCCACUCAACAAGGGCGUCCCUCAGAUUACAACUAAGUGCUGCCGUCCACGAAAGAAGUAGGGGAGUCGACUCUGCCUAGGGAUGCAACGGAUGGGGAUGACGUCAAAUCAUCAUGCCCCUUAUGACCUGGGCUACACACGUGCUACAAUGGACGGUACAAAGAGCUGCAAGACCGCGAGGUGGAGCUAAUCUCAUAAAACCGUUCUCAGUUCGGAUUGUAGGCUGCAACUCGCCUACAUGAAGCUGGAAUCGCUAGUAAUCGCGGAUCAGCAUGCCGCGGUGAAUACGUUCCCGGGCCUUGUACACACCGCCCGUCACACCACGAGAGUUUGUAACACCCGAAGUCGGUGGGGUAACCUUUUUGGAGCCAGCCGCCUAAGGUGGGACAGAUGAUUGGGGCGAAGUCGUCACAAUGAGACUCCG